CCCACACACAAGAACUUCCAAACGCCUGAACCGCAGCAGCCAGGCAUUCCUCCAGAACCUCCUCUCCCAGGAGCUUGCUACAAGUGUGGGAAAUCUGGCCACCGGGCCAAGGAAUGCCCAGAGCCCGGGAUUCCUCCUAAGCCGCCUCCCAUCUGUGUAGGACCCCACUGAAAAUCGGACUGUUCAACUCACCUGGCAGCCACUCCCAGAGCCCCUGGAACUCUGGCCCAAGGCUCUCUGACUGACUCCUUCCCAGAUCUUCUCGGUUUAGCAGCUGAAGACUGACACUGCCCGAUCGCCUCGGAAGCCCCCUAGACCAUCAUGGACACCGAGAUUCAGGUAACUCUCACAGUAGAAGGGUUCCUCCAAAUCUCUCUCCAAAUAUUUGUUAUCUACUCAUUCAAUACCCUUCUUCAACCAUCCUCUUGCUUUGGAAUUGACAUGAACCAACUAGGCCCGCCUUAUUGGUAGGAAUUCAUUUGCCCUGCCUGCCAGCCCCCAUAGAGACAGAACCAUUGCCUAGUGAAAGAAGAUUUUAAUGACGUGAUGAAAAUAUUUUAGAAAGCACCUUGAAGAUUAGUAUUUUUAUGUAACUUCUGUUGGAGAGAUGUCUUCAGGAGACUGAAGUAGAAGAGCGACUGUCAAAAUGGAAAGUUGAGUGUACGCUAUGCUUAUUCUUAGAGGGAUUAAUUACC
rnacentral:lncRNA from 1 species